UCCUUGGUGGCUCAGUGGUAAAGAAUCUGCCUGUAAUGCAGGAGACCCAGGUUCAAUCCUUGGGUCAGGAA
rnacentral:tRNA from 1 species